GUGAAUCAUCGAAUCUUUGAACGCAUAUUGCACUCUCUGGUAUUCCGGAGAGUAUGCCUGUUUGAGGGUAAUUAAAAAGAUUUUUAACCAAUUUUUUUUGGUUAAAGGAAAUGAGGUUUUCGCGUUUAUAGCGGUUGCUUGAAAUAAAUGGUUAAGUCUUAUUUUAGUCGAGACGCGUAAUAAUAUUAUUUUGCGAAAUU
rnacentral:misc_RNA from 1 species